rnacentral:misc_RNA from 1 species
UUUUAAUUUCUUUUUCAUUUCAUUUACUUUUGUUAGUAUUCCAGGAAAUUGAGGGUGAAAACGAUUUUUAAAUUCGUUAGUAUUCCAGGAAAGUUGAUUGAUUUUGCUUUUUUAAGAAAUUUGCUUGAUUGGGAAUUUUAAUUGCUGAAACUUGUAGACGAUGAUGAUAUAAGCUCAAGUAGAGUCACACUGGGAGUGUAAAUAAAUAAGCUAUCUAUUCAAUAUAAGUUUUUCAAAUACUUUACUGGGUUUG